rnacentral:misc_RNA from 1 species
GAUGAAGAACGCAGCGAAAUGCGAUACGUAAUGUGAAUUGCAGAAUUCAGUGAAUCAUCGAAUCUUUGAGCGCAUAUUGCGCUCUCUGGUAUUCCGGAGAGCAUGCUUGUUUGAGUAUCGGUAAACACCUCAACUUCCAUAUCUUUUUUGAAAUGGGAGUUGGACUUGAGUGAUCCCAACGCUUUUCCUCACCGAAAAGUGGCGGGUUACUUGAAAUGCAGGUGCAGCUGGACUUUUCUCUGAGCUAUAAGCAUAUCUAUUUAGUCUGCCUAAAAAACAGAUUAUUACCUUUGCUGCAGCUAACAUAAAGGAGAUUAGUUCUUGUGCUGACUGAUGCAGGAUUCACAAAGACAGGCUUCGGCCGACUUUGUAAACUCGAUCUCAAAUCAAGUAAGACUACCCGCUGAACUUAAGCAUAUCAAUAAGCGGAGGA